rnacentral:rRNA from 1 species
CGAAAGCCUGACGGAGCAAUACCGCGUGAGGGAGGAAGGCUCUUGGGUUGUAAACCUCUUUUCUUAGGGAAGAACAAAAUGACG